UUCUUGCNCAUUUAGAGGAAGUAAAAGUCGUAACAAGGUUUCCGUAGGUGAACCUGCGGAAGGAUCAUUAUAGUAUAUCUAUAUCUAGGAUGUAGGGUGCUUUAGGGUACCCUCCCCGCCAAACCUUGCAAAUUUGAACUUAAUAGUUACCUUGGUAGGCUUAACUGCCUGUGGAUAAAUCUAAAUUCUUUAAUAAACUGGCUGCAAUUAAUGUAACUGUCUGAAUUAAUGUUAAUAAUUAAAACUUUCAACAACGGAUCUCUUGGUUCUGGCAUCGAUGAAGAACGCAGCGAAAUGCGAUAAGUAGUGUGAAUUGCAGAAUUCAGUGAAUCAUCGAAUCUUUGAACGCACAUUGCGCCCCCUGGUAUUCCGGGGGGCAUGCCUGUUCGAGCGUCAUUUCACCACUCAAGCCUCGCUUGGUAUUGGGCGACGCGGUCCGCCGCGCGCCUCAAAUCGACCGGCUGGGUCUUCUGUCCCCUCAGCGUUGUGGAAACUAUUCGCUAAAGGGUGCCACGGGAGGCCACGCCGAAAAACAAACCCAUUUCUAAGGUUGACCUCGGAUCAGGUAGGGAUACCCGCUGAACUUAAGCAUAUCAAUAAGCGGAGGA
rnacentral:rRNA from 1 species